AGCGCGUAAGCUCGAUUUAUCGACGAUCGACGAGGCGGCAAAAGGGAAAAAAGCGAAAGAAAUAAAAAAAGAAAAAAAAAGACGAAAGGAAACGAUAACAGGUAGGACAGAUUAGAAUAACGAGUGGUGGCCAUUCGAUUGUGGAAGAAUCUCGAUAAAGCUUACAAAUUUCCGCGUUAUCUUUGGAACGCAAUAUUCAGCCGUUCCUUGGUUAAGCGAUAUUGGUUAGCGCUAAAUUAUGGCCCCGAUGCGGUAGACACCAAGCGCGCUGGCUUUCCCCCUCCAAGUUUAUUUUCGGUCGUUCAGCCAUGAGAGAAGGAGAGAGAGAGAGAGAGAGAGAGAGAAAGAGAGAGAUUUACGUUGACGUCCGUUGUGCGGAGGGACGAUAAAUUGGUGGCACGAGGCAAGGAUCGGUGGUAAACGGGCCUCUGUGGGUAAAGAAAAUCCUGGACGGAUUGUAGCUCAUGUUCGCAGAAUCUCCCUUCGAUCGGCGGAAAGCCAAGAAAGAAAAAAAGAAAAUCCACGUCAAUUACGGAAGGAUGCGGAGACGUUCUAGCGCGAUGCCCCCGGCUAAUUUGAUCGGAACGAUCCGGUUGGGGAGCGGGAUAGGAGCUGCGCACCAUCCUCGGAAUUCGAUGUGAUUUACGAGUGUUGCCUGCUUGUUUCCACCGUCUUCCUAUUUACACGUUUGUUGGGAAACUAUUUGCGGAAAGUGGAGAAAACUCAGCCCGUGGUCCGACGACGUGAAAACCGACGUACAGCUUUCAGAGAAUAGAAACCUCUAGAGAAGGAGGAGGAAUGAGAAAAAAAGGAAAGGAGAAAAGCCUGGAUUGGAAAACUAAGAAGAGGAGGAAUAAAGAGAACAACGAAGUGGAAGAACAAGAGGAGCGUAAGAACGAAAUAUAAAGGAGGAAAGGAUGUGUACACACCGAACGCGCGUCGAAUGCAAAAUACAAGAGUGGAACGAAGAAGAAACGUCCAUCUUCGCGUUAAUUGGCUUUCUUCGAGUUUCUCACGAAACCAUCUCUUGUAAUGGAUCCAUCUUUCCUCCUUCCUUUUUUCCCCUCGGUUUCGUCUAUUCUCCUCCCUUCUCCUUUUCUCUCGGAUUCUUCCAUUUCUCUCGUUUUCUUUCUCGUCGCUUUAUUCGAUUCUCUCUCUCUUCUCUUUUUUGUCGCCUCGUUUCGCGCAUAUAUGCGACCACUCGAUUGCAUGGGACAUGGGAUCUGACCGGAAAUAAGUUUCGCUCGGUGUCGUUAAAACCGUUCGCCAACCAGAGAGAGAACUCGAACCCAUCGUUGAAUGGAUAAUUGAAUUGCCCCGGUAUCGUUCCACGCCAAGUCACCGGUGAAAGAAACCAUGGAUGGGGGCAGGGGAUCGGGGUAAUCGUUGCGGCAUACUCGAAAGGGAAUCAUCGGCGAGGAAUGGAUUGGAGGGGGAGGAGAGAAGAAAAAGAGAUCGAAUGCCCCUUGUUCUACGUGAGUUUGAAUCUAAUUACGAUUUUUUUUUCUCGUGCGUGAUAGUUUUUUUUUUUUUUUUUACUACUAUGGUAUUUUUCGAGAAAUGUUUGAAACUUUAAUUUUAUAUAUUGUUAUAUACUGAUACUGUACGAGGAGAUUAUAAUGUAAGGAAGAAUCGUAUAUAUGCGAACAAUUAAAAUAAUUGGAGGAUUAUUAUUAACGUCUAUGCCAAUAAUUUUCAAAUUAAUUCACUUCGAUUAUUAUAUUGUUGAAUCUACACGAUACGAAAGAAAUGGAAAAAAUGUAAAAAAAGAAAAUAACUUGAUUAAGCAUGAUUGAGCAUGCAAUAUAUAUAUACGUAAUAGCGCGUUAAUAACAAAAUUAACAGAAAAUUCAAUAAUAAAUAAGAGAAGAAGAAGAGUUGAUUUUUUAGAUAUUUCAUUAAAUUACAACAAACAGAAAGAAGCGAGGUUUUUUUCUAUUCGAUUCCCAAGUACGUAAUCAAAUUAAAUUUGAUUCGAUAACGAUAAGAGAUUCAGGAAAGGAUUUGAAGUAUUUAAUAAGCUUAAUGGGAAAGAUAAUUAAUCCGGCUGUAAUCCUAUUCACCGAGGGACCAAAGAAUUUGGAUCUAGAUGUCAGAUAUGCAUAAAUGGGUAGCUAAUUAUCCGUACGGAUAGUAUAUCGUGAAAUCUACCCAGCCCUACCCACUCCCUCCCCUCCUCCCUUUUAGAAUUAAUAAUUCCACGAUGAAAGGAAAUUUUAUACCGAGCACGGCGUCCCCAUGCAAAUGCGCGCUUUACACGGUGCAAUCUCCUUUUUGUUCUCCCGAAAGUAUCGCACCGCGACAUUAAAACUGAUUUAGAAUAUCUUCACAUAGGGUACCAGGUUUAUUUGAACAAGUCUAUUCCCAGCCAGUUAUCGUUUUCAGUGGUGUUAGAGCGCUCGAAAAGCGCUUUGAAAACUGUACAGUGUUUGCGCGCCUUCCAUUUAUGAGCGUUACAGAGGCUGGCUUUAAAGUUCCGACCUUCGGCCAUGAAACGGCUCGACUAAACGGCGAAAUUAAUAAAUCGAUAAAUGAAAAAAAAAAGUAUUGGAAUUUCUAUUUCUAAUUCUAAAUUUUUCAAAUUUAUUUAGAAUAUUCGAAGUUGAAUUCGAAAUCGAUCAUAUGUUGUAAUAAAGAUCUGUCAUCUUUCAUCGUUGUUGAAUGUUCUACACCAGUAAAACUGGAAUCGUCAUUUUUUUUUUUUUUUAUGAUAGAACUAGCUUCAGGCUUGGACAACCUGGCGAUCAGCAAACAGCAAUUGUUAUUAUUGAUACUGGAAAAUUGUCAGUAUUAUAAAUCGUGAUUCUCCUUUUCUUCUACUAUUCCAUUUUAAUCGUAUGGUCUAUCGAAAAAACGAAAUAUAGAGAAAUCCUUUCAUCAAACAUGUACCAACUGUGCAAACGUAUUCAAACUUGGUUCACAGUUGGAGAGUAAAUUUUAGAAGCAAGAGACCAAAAACAAGAUAUCACAGUUAAGAUUACAAGCAAGGAUCAAAAGGACAGGCAUUGCACUGCUGUCACGUUCUGGAUUCUAUAUUUGUACGUAGGUACAUAAUUCGUGGACGUGUGUGGAUUAUGAAAAUAUCAGAGCACCACUAAUUCUCGUAGGUUGUGCUUAAUGCAUAUAGUUAUAUGUGACGAUACCAAAAGAGAAAAUCCCUGUGGUAGGAAAUUCUUGUUGCAAAAACGAUUUAUGUAAUGUAAUAGAUGCUUUUUCACUAACGUUCAUUUUCAAAUUUGACAAAUUACAAAA